rnacentral:lncRNA from 1 species
GUGGAGUUGCGGGAGUCUGGCUCUCGUAGGUGAAGUCGGGGCGAAGUCCGGCUCCCGUGGGAGUCCGGAUGGAGUCUACCUGCAAUUGAAGUUAGAGGCAAAAUUUGGCUCCCGUAGGAGUCCGGACGGAGCUUACCAGCGGUUGAAGUUGGGGACGAAGUCCGGCUCCCGUAGGAGUCCAGACGGAGUCUUCCUUCGAUCAAAGUCGAGGGCGAAGUCCGGCUC